rnacentral:rRNA from 1 species
GAUGAACGCUGGCGGCGUGCCUAAUACAUGCAAGUCGAGCGAACAGAUGAGGAGCUUGCUCCUCUGAUGUUAGCGGCGGACGGGUGAGUAACACGUGGAUAACCUACCUAUAAGACUGGGAUAACUUCGGGAAACCGGAGCUAAUACCGGAUAAUAUAUUGAACCGCAUGGUUCAAUAGUGAAAGACGGUUUUGCUGUCACUUAUAGAUGGAUCCGCGCCGCAUUAGCUAGUUGGUAAGGUAACGGCUUACCAAGGCGACGAUGCGUAGCCGACCUGAGAGGGUGAUCGGCCACACUGGAACUGAGACACGGUCCAGACUCCUACGGGAGGCAGCAGUAGGGAAUCUUCCGCAAUGGGCGAAAGCCUGACGGAGCAACGCCGCGUGAGUGAUGAAGGUCUUCGGAUCGUAAAGCUCUGUUAUUGGGGAAGAACAAAUGUGUAAGUAACUAUGCACGUCUUGACGGUACCUAAUCAGAAAGCCACGGCUAACUACGUG